UUUAAUCGCAAGGAUCGAUGCAAAUGUGGCCGAAUUCGUCCGGAAACGGCCGAAAACGGCCAAACCGAGGCGAAUCGCCGCCGCUCACCGGAGCACGGCGGAGCCGCCGUGCCGAAAUUGCGAUAUUGGCCAAAAAGGGGCCCUGGGCCUAAUUUGGGAUUUUUUUGAACACGUGCAGGUACCAGUAGUGCGUUUCAGUUCCCCGAAAAAAAUUCAGAGAAAA
rnacentral:lncRNA from 1 species